AUACAGAGGGUGCAAGCGUUAAUCGGAAUUACUGGGCGUAAAGCGCGCGUAGGCGGUUUAAUCAGUCGGAUGUGAAAGCCCCGGGCUCAACCUGGGAACUGCAUUCGAUACUGUUAAGCUAGAGUAUGGUAGAGGGAAGUGGAAUUCCAGGUGUAGCGGCGAAAUGCGUAGAUAUCUGGAGGAACAUCAGUGGCGAAGGCGACUUCCUGGACCAAUACUGACGCUGAGGUGCGAAAGCGUGGGGAGCAAACAGGAUUAGAAACCCUAGUAGUCC
rnacentral:rRNA from 1 species